AGGAUAAACGCUGGCGGCGUGCCUAACACAUGCAAGUCGAACGUCCUACGCAAGUAGGGAGUGGCGGACGGGUGAGUAACACGUGGGCAAUCUACCUUUCGGUGAGGAAUACCGGCGAGAAAUCGCCGACAAUACCGCAUACGCUUCGCAAGAAGCAAAGUCGCAAGACGCCGGAGGAGGAGCCUGCGCCCGAUUAGCUGGUUGGUGAGGUAACGGCCCACCAAGGCGACGACGGGUAG
rnacentral:rRNA from 1 species